AGCAUUGCCGAAUGUGAUGCCUUUAAAUGAAGAUGUUAAUAAGCAGGAAGAAAAGAAUGAAGAUCAUACUCACAAUUAUGCUCCUGCUAAUGAGAAAAAUGGCAAUUAUUAUAAAGAUAUAAAACAAUUGCAUGUUUUAAGAAAAAAGAGGAAGAAAAAGGUAAAGGAAAAAAAGUGACUUAGUUGCUGAAGACUUUUGCUUUUGUUUUUAGAUGUGUUCACAACACAAAAUCCAAAUGGCACUGAGUCUGAAAUAUCUGUGAGAGCCACAACUGACCUGAAUUUUGCUCUAAAAAACUAUAAAAUUGUCAAUGCAACUACGUAUGAAAAAUCCACCAGUGAAGAAGAAACAACUACUAACGAACCCUCUCAUA
rnacentral:sRNA from 1 species